rnacentral:tRNA from 2 species
AGGGAUUUAGGUUAAAUGAGACCGUGGGCCUUCAAAGCCCAAAGCGAGAGUGAGACUCUCCCAGUCCCUG